rnacentral:rRNA from 1 species
AUUGAACGCUGGCGGCAUGCCUUACACAUGCAAGUCGAACGGCAGCACGGGAGCAAUCCUGGUGGCGAGUGGCGAACGGGUGAGUAAUAUAUCGGAACGUGCCCAGUCGUGGGGAUAACGUAGCGAAAGCUACGCUAAUACCGCAUACUAUCUAUGGAUGAAAGCGGGGGAUCGCAAGACCUCGCGCGAUUGGAGCGGCCGAUAUCAGAUUAGGUAGUUGGUGAGGUAAAGGCUCACCAAGCCGACGAUCUGUAGCUGGUCUGAGAGGACGACCAGCCACACUGGAACUGAGACAC